AACGAACGCUGGCGGCAUGCCUAACACAUGCAAGUCGAACGAUGCCUUCGGGCAUAGUGGCGCACGGGUGCGUAACGCGUGGGAAUCUGCCUUUCGGUUCGGAAUAACUCAGGGAAACUUGAGCUAAUACCGGAUAACGUCGCAAGACCAAAGAUUUAUCACCGAAAGAUGAGCCCGCGUAGGAUUAGCUAGUUGGUGAGGUAAAGGCUCACCAAGGCGACGAUCCUUAGCUGGUCUGAGAGGAUGAUCAGCCACACUGGGACUGAGACACGGCCCAGACUCCUACGGGAGGCAGCAGUGGGGGAUAUUGGACAAUGGGCGAAAGCCUGAUCCAGCAAUGCCGCGUGAGUGAUGAAGGCCUUAGGGUUGUAAAGCUCUUUUACCCGGGAAGAUAAUGACGGUACCGGGAGAAUAAGCCCCGGCUAACUCCGUG
rnacentral:rRNA from 1 species